rnacentral:lncRNA from 1 species
UGGCUACUAGCUCCACUCAUAAUUACCCAAUAAAAAGGUAUGGGCGAGUUUUUUAAACGGCUCAAAAGGGGUGAUACUCUCCCAAACACCGAUUUCUCCAUACAAAAUUACCUUAAGGGGUCACCAAGUACUGCACUACUUGGGCCAUCGGAUUGGUAACCAAUUGAUCAAGCAACUAGAGGAAUGGGUAAUAGGAUUGCAU